rnacentral:lncRNA from 1 species
UUCUGCCCGACAGGACAAGCAUCUGAGCUCCUUUGGAAAGGACGCCCAUCUUUCAUACUGUACACUGGAAUUCAGAAAGAGCUAGAGGGACAAAUUGUAGACGUUUCCUAAGAAAAUAAAGGACUGGAAUUCAUGGAUUUGCUCAAACCUCUCCCUUGCUGCAGACACUGAGCCUGCACCACCUCUUCAGCCCACCACGGACGAGGCCUGUGUGUGUCUUUCAGGUGCGUGAAGACCUCAGGAGCCAAGUUUUCCAGGUCUUCACCUGUUGUCAGUUUGCACCAGCUGCUUCUCUCCACCUAACUCUGGGGUCCUUCCUGGGAAGUUAGUCCAACAGAGAAGCCACCACCCACAGGAAGUCCGGGCGCACGCUGAGCAGUGGACAGAGGCCGACACUUGAGGUACGUAAAGGCGUUCCCAUGGCAUCUCCCAGAUUUUGUCUUUGGGGAUGACAGGGAUAAUGAGGAAUGGGGCCAGGGAAGUCUCAGGC